AUGUUCUGGGCCGCACGCGCGCUACACUGACAGAGCCAACGAGUUCAUCACCUUGGCCGGAAGGUCUGGGUAAUCUUGUUAAACUCUGUCGUGCUGGGGAUAGAGCAUUGCAAUUAUUGCUCUUCAACGAGGAAUGCCUAGUAAGCGCAUAUCAUCAGCAUGCGUUGAUUACGUCCCUGCCCUUUGUACACACCGCCCGUCGCUACUACCGAUUGAAUGGCUCAGUGAGGCCUUCGGACUGGCUCAGGGAGGUCGGCAACGCAACCCAGAGCCGGAAAGUUCGUCAAACUUGGUCAUUUAGAGGAAGUAAAAGUCGUAACAAGGU
rnacentral:rRNA from 1 species